rnacentral:rRNA from 1 species
UAUGUGAUCGUCUCUCGCAUAUCAAUAAGCGGAGGAAAAGAAACUAACAAGGAUUCCCCUAGUAACGGCGAGUGAAGCGGGAAGAGCUCAAAUUUGAAAUCUUAAAGGGUUUCCCUUUACGAAUUGUAGUUUAAAGAAGUGUUUUCUGUUGAGGUUUUGGUAAAAGUUCUUUGGAAUAGGACAUCAUAGAGGGUGAGAAUCCCGUAUUUGACCUUUACUUUCAACUUUGUGAUACACUUUCAAAGAGUCGGAUUGUUUGGGAAUGCAGUCCAAAAUGGGUGGUAAAUUUCAUCUAAAGCUAAAUAUUGGCGAGAGACCGAUAGCGAACAAGUACCGUGAGGGAAAGAUGAAAAGAACUUUGAAAAGAGAGUUAAACAGUACGUGAAAUUGUCAAAAGGGAAGCGUUUGACACCAGUGUUGUUUUUCUGAAAAUCAAUUAAAGAACUGUUUAUGCUAAGCUGUUUAGACUUAUCAGCUAACUGUUUAGUUUUGAGCUUUUCUUUAAUGCACUUUUCAGUUAACAAGUCAACAUCAAUUUCUUUUGCUGUAAAAAAGCUUGAGGAAGGUGGCUUGAGAUUCGUCUUAAGUGUUUAUAGCCUCUUGCCUAUGCAGUCGGAGAGAUUGAGGUCUGCAGCGUAGAUCCUUCGGGGCUAAAUGCAUUUGUGCUAAGUUAUAGCAUUUUAUAGACAACUUGUUGACUAUGAUUUGUCUUGUAGCUUACUCGCUUAUGUUAUUUUACCUACGCUUAGGAUGUUGAGUAGCGACAUACGCAC